rnacentral:rRNA from 1 species
UACUGGGCGUAAAGCGAGCGCAACGGUUACUUAAGCAGGAUGUGAAAUCCCCGGGCUCAACCUGGGAACUGCGUUCUGAACUGGGUGACUAGAGUGUGUCAGAGGGAGGUAGAAUUCCACGUGUAGCAGUGAAAUGCGUAGAGAUGUGGAGGAAUACCGAUGGCGAAGGCAGCCUCCUGGGAUAACACUGACGUUCAUGCUCGAAAGCGUGGGUAGCAAACAGGAUUAGAUACCCUGGUAGUCAAGGGCG